rnacentral:rRNA from 1 species
CACUGUCACUCCUACGGGGAGGCAGCAGUGGGGAAUAUUGGACAAUGGGGGCAACCCUGAUCCAGCCAUGCCGCGUGUGUGAAGAAGGCCUUCGGGUUGUAAAGCACUUUCAGUGGUGAGGAAAGGUAACGGUUAAUACCCGUUAUCUGUGACGUUAGCCACAGAAGAAGCACCGGCUAACUCCGUGCCAGCAGCCGCGGUAAUACGGAGGGUGCGAGCGUUAAUCGGAAUUACUGGGCGUAAAGCGCACGCAGGCGGAUUGUUAAGCUAGAUGUGAAAGACCCCGGGCGUUAACCUGGGAAUUGCAUUUAGAACUGGCAGUCUAGAGUCUUGGAGAGGGGAGUGGAAUUCCAGGUGUAGCGGUGAAAUGCGUAGAGAUCUGGAGGAACAUCAGUGGCGAAGGCGGCUCCCUGGCCAAAGACUGACGCUCAUGUGCGAAAGCGUGGGUAGCGAACAGGAUUAGAUACCCUGGUAG